rnacentral:rRNA from 1 species
UACGAAGGGGGCGAGCGUUGUUCGGAUUUACUGGGCGUAAAGCGUGCGCAGGCGGUUUUGUAAGCCAGAUGUGAAAGCCCCGGGCUCAACCUGGGAAUGGCAUUUGGGACUGCAAGGCUUGAGUGCGGCAGAGGAGACUGGAAUUCCUGGUGUAGCAGUGAAAUGCGUAGAUAUCAGGAGGAAUACCGAUGGCGAAGGCAGGUCUCUGGGCUGACACUGACGCUCAUGCACGAAAGCGUGGGGAGCAAACAGG